UACGUAGGGUGCAAGCGUUGUCCGGAAUUAUUGGGCGUAAAGAGCUCGUAGGCGGUUUGUCGCGUCUGCUGUGAAAAUCCAGGGCUUAACCCUGGACCUGCAGUGGGUACGGGCAGACUAGAGUGCGGUAGGGGAGAUCGGAAUUCCUGGUGUAGCGGUGAAAUGCGCAGAUAUCAGGAAGAACACCGAUGGCGAAGGCAGUUCUCUGGGACGGUACUGACGCUGAGACGCGAAAGCGUGGGGAGCGAACAGG
rnacentral:rRNA from 1 species